rnacentral:pre_miRNA from 1 species
UUAGGUAUCAAUGUGGUUCAAAUGCUGAACGAUGAAUAUGAAAUUUCAACAUUUGAACCCCAUAGAUAUCAUAAA